AAUGAACGCUGGCGGCAGGCCUAACACAUGCAAGUCGAACGGAUCCUUCGGGAUUAGUGGCGGACGGGUGAGUAACGCGUGGGAACAUACCCUUUGGUACGGAAUAGCCUCGGGAAACUGGGAGUAAUACCGUAUGUGGUCGAGAGACGAAAGAUUUAUCGCCAAAGGAUUGGCCCGCGUUGGAUUAGGUGAGUUGGUGGGGUAAUGGCCUACCAAGCCGACGAUCCAUAGCUGGUUUGAGAGGAUGAUCAGCCACACUGGGACUGAGACACGGCCCAAACCCCUGCGGGGGGCAGAGGUGGGGAAUUUUAAAAAAGGGGGAAAACCUUGAUCGACCCAGGCCGGGUGAUCGAUGAAGGCCUGAGGGUUGAAAAGAUCUUUCAGGUGGGAAGAUAAGGACGGUCCCACCAGAAGAAGCCCCGGCUAACCCCGUCCCAGCCGCCGCCGUAA
rnacentral:rRNA from 1 species